UGCAUGGUUGUCGUCAGCUCGUGUCGUGAGAUGUUGGGUUAAGUCCCGCAACGAGCGCAACCCUCGUUCUAUGUUGCCAGCACGUAAUGGUGGGAACUCAUAGGAGACUGCCGGGGUCAACUCGGAGGAAGGUGGGGAUGACGUCAAAUCAUCAUGCCCCUUAUGUCUUGGGCUUCACGCAUGCUACAAUGGCCGAUACAAAGGGCUGCAAUACCGUAAGGUGGAGCGAAUCCCAAAAAGUCGGUCUCAGUUCGGAUUGAGGUCUGCAACUCGACCUCAUGAAGUCGGAGUCGCUAGUAAUCGCAGAUCAGCAACGCUGCGGUGAAUACGUUCCCGGGCCUUGUACACACCGCCCGUCAAGUCAUGAAAGUCGGUAACACCCGAAGCCAGUGGCCCAACCGCAAGGAGGGAGCUGUCGAAGGUGGGAUCGGUGAUUAGGACUAAGUCGUAACAAGGUAGCCGUACCGGAAGGUGCGGCUGGAUCACCUCCUUU
rnacentral:rRNA from 1 species